rnacentral:lncRNA from 1 species
CGAAUACACACGUGUGUAUUCCACUUCCUCUCCUUCUUAUCCACAAGUUGUUCUCUUCCUUGCUGAUUUCACUCACAGUAUGUUCUGAAGAUUGUUUCAAAGUCGCAGAUGGAGCUCUCCCUCGCUUCUUAUCGCAGCUGCGAGUAGUCUGUUCGUGUGGGUGUCGUGUGGGUGUACCACCGUUUAGUCAACCAUCCUUCUCCUGAGGGACACUUGGAUUAUUUCCAGUCUUCUGGUUUUGUAGAUAGUGCAGCAAAUUUGUUCACGUCAUUUUGUUUUCCUGAGGAAGAUUUGCCCUGAGCUAGCAUCUGUGCCAGUCUCCCUCUAUUUUGUAUGUGAGUUGCUGCCCCGGCAUGGCCGUUGAUGAGUGGUGUAGGUCUGCACCUGGGAACCAAACCCCGGCCACCGAAGUGGAGCAAGCCAAACUUAACCCCUAGGCCACGGAGCCGGCCCCUCGUUUUGAAUAUUUUGCUGGUAAUACACUCACGUGUUCAAAAUUCAAAGCCUUAAAAAUAAACAACCUUUCCUGUUCAAUAUGUAAACAAACAACCUCAUGCUCCCGACAGAAAAGCAGCAAGGACAUGAAAAGGCAAUUUGUGGAAAAAAAUGUGUUAAGAAUGUCACCCUUAGUGUUAUAAAAACUCUUCCACUGAGACCUGCUUGCCUGUCAUUUUGAGAUGUUUUUGAUGCACAGAAGUUUCAACUUUACUAAGCCGUAUUUUUCCCUGAAUGAUCUCUUCGCUGCCUGGAAAGCCAUUGCCCAUCCUGAGACGGAGCCGAGGACUGGUGUAGCUACCUGAGGGUGCAGCUCUGGGAUGCCACUUGGCCUCAGUCCCCAGCCCCUGCUCUGAACCAUCUGGCAGUUAUUCAUGGCAGGACAAGCAGGCCAAGGGGCACCAGCCUCUGGAAGUGGACCAUCCUUCUGGAGAAGAGGGCCUGGAGACCCACCCUGAGCAAUUUAUCCAGCUACUCUGAAAAAAUGGCCCUGUCAGGAGCCUUCUUUGGAGCAAAGUGUCUUUCCUCAAAAGAAACUCCAAAUGGCUCGCGGUGCACGGCAGGCUUCUGGCGUGUGCGCCUGAACAGUACUGGCAGUAAACCUUUGGAGUGAAAAGGAUGCUCUGUGGGCUUGUUUCGGGAUGCUGUAAGAAAGGCGGGAGUCUGAGAAGACAUUUCCUGCUGCACAACCAGAUUUCUGAGAAAAGGAACCAAGAAGUGGGGGGUGGGAAGGGGGGUCAGGAGUCAGGCUGAGUGCUUGGGGUCUGCCAGAAGCAAAAAGAGGCCCUGAUGGGCUGGGGAAGUGCCUGGUGGUCUCUGUGGUACUCAGUCUCACCCCAUAGAUUGUCACUCUGACCCUGGCCAGUCAAUGAACCAAUCUGGGCUGAACAGGAGAGUCUGGAAGCCUCCAUCAGACCCCUCCCACUGUUGGAAAAGCUCCGGGUGCCCGUGGCCAACUGGCAUGGAGGGGACAGCCCUGAUGGCAGAUGUCUUUCUUAUCAUACCUAAAUGGCCCAGCAGUAGUAAUGGCAUAUUAGGGCGGUGGCUCCCAAGCCAAGUGCCUGAGGGACAGUGGCACUUAUUAGCUGAAACAAGAUGUCUUCACAGAGCUCAGUCCAAAUCUUGGCUGCGUUGUCUCAAUUUGCAGGAUAACAUUCAGAGUUUGGUUUCUCCAUCUUCAGUUUUCCUCCAACUGGAUUUCAUUAAGCCAUUGUUGCCUGCCGAACUAUAAGUUGACAUUUGUGUAAACAGAGAUAAAUAGACAAUUGUGCUUUCUUGAAAGCUUGUGUUUAUGGACUGGAGCUAUUGAGAUGGUGAUUUUGUCGGGCAUCCAUAACCUGGCUGUGAGGUGGGGCAGUCAGGGGAAGCCAUCCGUCCAUCAAUCUCAAGGUUUCUCUGGCCAGGUGACAUUCAUGGUCAACCCUUUGUCUCCCUGUGACCUAAGUGAAUUGACCUAGGGGCCUGCUUUUCUCUUUGGCUGGGGUGUGUGCAAGUGGGAGGAAGGUGAUGAGCAUGAGGAUGUCAAUCAGUUCUAUACUCUGGUGUCCAGUGAGGGAAUUCAAACUGGGCAGAGCCAGGGGUGGUGGAGAGGAGAGGCAUUUGAAAGGUCGAGAUUUGCCCCUUAGAUCUAAUGAUCUCCUUCGAAUGCCCUGUAUUCAGAUCAAGCCUGGGAGUGGUGUUUCCUUGGCCUCCACCCCCAGAGCCCCUCCGUUCCUCCUCUUUCCACUUUCUUCCCUCCCUCUGGACACCCUGGCCUUUCAAACUCCUUCUUGCAGUUGAAUUUGUUUCUAGGCUGGUGGCCGUCCUGUCCCUCAGUGGUGAGUGAGCCUCCCAGCCAGGUCUGCUUGGAAAUCUUUGGGGCAGGCUCAGUCGUCGUGUGGGUCAUAAGUCCAAGCCAUUCCUUCCCUCUCCUGUGGCACUGUGAAUAGGGAGAAGGGGGCAGCUUUGAGUCCGGGGGUUGGGACAGAAGAACCGAGGGGAUGAUCUUGUACUAUGGAAAGAGACUUACUUUAGAGUCUAAAAAGAGAAACGCCAGCUCACAGCCCUCACUAGCUUCAAUGAUCAAUUGCCUCCGUCUCUAACCAGCAGAGCUGUCUGAACGUUAGGCUCCCAUAGCCUUUCCCUCCUGCUUGACUGUAAGUUGUACGAAGCAGUCUUCUCUCGCUGUGGCCUUGGGGUUAUCUCCACACCCAAGCUCUCUUUUCUAAGGAUGUUGCUCUCACCUCCCACCUUGGCUGCUGCAGGCCGGGGAAAGGGCCAUCCUGCUGAGCACACACAUCAUGGAGCCAAAUUUUCUCACUGGCAAAAUUGUUCUCAGGUCCUAAAUUGAGGAUUCACAAACUCCACUGUCCACAGAGACCCGGAACAUCAUGUAAGGAGAGAAGAGGCCGAACCCAGGAGACAUGGAAAGUGGCACUGGGCUGCAGGGUUGGGGAGCAGUGUGGAGUGGUGGGGACCACGGCUAUGGGAGAGCACGUGCUCCAUCCCAUCCACAGGGGCGACCCCCUUCUCGGCAGGAAGGGGUUGCAAUAGGGGAAUGCCAGCCCAGAGAAGCCAGUUUUUCUAUUUUCAAAUCUGGACUUUUCUGUGAACUCUCCUAAUGUUACGUGUUGGCAACAAAUUCCAAUUUAAAACAUGCUGUGGGCCAAGCAAAACAUGUGUGCUGGCCCGUUGUGGCUAGUUUGCUCCUCUGCUGUUGUGAAAUGUGGUGGAGCUGUCGUUCUGCAUGUUUGGAGAUGUGCACCAAGACUUCCGGGCCCUCAGCCCUGAACAAAUUUAGGAAUCCGUGCAUCAGGUGCUGUGCGGGCUCACCCCUGUGCUAACAAGUCGAACACCUAGCCCAUUUCCUGAUAGCUGGGUGUUUAGCCUAACUUGUCGUGGAGUAGCAUAGAUUUGCUUUUUCUCCAGGGAGGGACACAUACCCCUGUUCUUUCACUGAGCAUGGUCCUCUGGAUGGCCUCUUGGCCUCGGGCAGCCUGGCCAGGGAGGACAGGCAGUGGCCGCCCUGGGUCAGGGCGCCUUAUCCAGGCAGGUGAUGGAUGGAUGUCCAGGACAGCUUCCAGGUUUCUUGUUUGUGCAAUGCGGGGAUGUGGGGCCUCCACAGAGAGAGGGGAUACAAGAGAGUCAUUGAGUUUUGGGGGAAGAUCAUGAAAUCUCGGGGUUUGCCCUGUUUUCCCAGGCUGGAAGGAGGGGGUGCACAGCUUUGGGCCUGGGACAUGGCAUGGUGAGUAUGGGCUCAGCUUCUCCCCAUGUGUAGCCUCCAGGUGGCACUGGGAUUCUGGGCUCAGCCUGGCUCCCCAAGGACAGCCUGGCAAUGAUCGCCAAGCUCAGGGGGGACACUCACAAUGGUCUCAGGGUGGCUGGGGCUUCAGGGAUCAUCUAGUGAUGUGGAAAGAGCUUGCAUCUCAGCUCUGCACUUUAUUAGCAUGUGACCUUAGGCAAUGAUGUCACCUCCUGGGUGUCAGUCCCUUGUCUGUAGAAGGGUCUGGCCAGUUGAUCUCUAGCCUCUAAGUGGCCUCCAGGUUCUCUGACAAUGACUCUGCUGCUGGCUGCUGCCAUAGCUCAGUUUGACACAUCUUUUAGAGCAAGGAUGGGACUGUUGCUUCACUACCAGCUCCCCGGUGACUGGCAAGGCACAAGGCACAUAGCAGGUGUUUAAUAUACGUUUGUUGAAUGAAUGAGCGAGACCAAAUCCCUGGCAGCAGGGAACCAGGCAGGCAGAAGACCCCUGGGGCAAAGGAAACUCUUGCUGUACCUUCAUCCCAGCUUCUGGUGGCAGGUGAGAGGCAGGACACUGCAGGCCAAGGGCCACUCAAGCCUUGAGGCUGGAGCCCAUCUCCUAGCCUAGAAUCUUCUAUAGCCUGGCUCAUGGGUGCCGUUGGCUGGGCUGUUGGAAUCCUGCCCCCACCCCUGGUCCUGCCCCACCUUCUCGCAGAACUGCCCACAGUGACAACAUAAGUCCCCCGAUAUCUCUGAAUGCUUAAAGUUUUAAAAAUGCAGACCUUUGGAGAUGUUGUGGGGAGCAGCUGGGCUCCAGGCCAGGCCAGGCUGGCAUGUUGGAGAAUGAGUCUUCAGCAGGCCGCUCUGAGGAACCACUUCUGCUGCUGGAGGCAGGAAAGGAGCGGGGCCUAGGCCUAGACUCCUAGUUCUCGGAGGAGUUGGAGCAGAAGCAGGCGAUGGCUGUGCCCUGGCCCACUCUGGGUGGCUUUGUGGUUUGUGGCUGUAGCUGUGGUCCACGCCUGGGUUCUGGGCCAGCAGAGAUGUAUGGAGCCCCUCGUUUAUCUGUGAGACCUGUAUGGAGGGAAGGACGGUCUGGGGUGUGUGAGGAUUGGGCUGGCUGUCUAUAGGGUGACAGUAGAGCUCUGGGAUCUCAGGCAGAAAUCUCGGGGUACAUCCCCUCACUCCAGCCUCAAGCACAGUGGAGACUUCAUAGGUGCUUGCUGUCACCCUCACUGAGUGCCAAGCCCUGCUCUGGGGCAGCGAGAGGUGUCCUGGGGUGCCUCGCCAGCCCUUCCCACCCUCAUCCCCGCGUGCAAUAGGGGGAGGUGAGGGGCCCAGGCUCGGCUGUAGGGGCUUUUCUCUCCCCAUGGGUGUUGCUCCAAGAGCCCCCGAGUCAUCGGAAAGCUCCUUGAAGACUUUGGAGCUGGGGCAUACUGGAGGUGAAGCUGGAAAAUUUUCUGAAAUCUUUCACACUCUUCAGCUCUCAUUCUCCUAAAAAUACUAUUAUUAUAAACUCAUUCGAUAUGCAGAAACAAAGAGUGAUAUGAUGAACACAAACCAUUUGAGAAAUAAAAUGACAAAUCCCAUCAAAGCCCUCCGUGAGCACCUUGCUUCCCCUGCACCCCACCCCCUCCCAUGGGUAACCGCUGUCCUAUACUUGAUAUUUUUCAAUCUCAUGAAUUGCUUUAACUUUUUACUAUAUAUGAAAGUUUUCUUGAAGUGUUUACAGAGCUGUUUUGCAUGCUUUUAAACUGUAGAAAUAGUGUAAUUCUAAUUUGUAUUCUUGUGCAAUUAGUUUUUUUCCUCUUGACAUGUUUAUGGGAGUCCAGGGUGUGGACAUGUGUUACUCUGGCUCAUUUAUUUUCGACGCUGCAUAGAAUUCCAUUGCAUGACUGUGUCAUCUCUCCAAGGAGGGCUCCUCACGGCCCCCUGAGAGGGUGGCUGUGCUCACUGAGGGUACUCUCUUGUGCAAGGAUGGCUCUGGUUCUGUGGAUGCUCUCCACCUUCAUCUCCCCCACCCCUCUUUAGGGUGCCAGGGUCCUCCCCUCCCUCCCAGAACCAUUGCUUCACGAAGGAGGAAUUUGAGUGGAUUUCAGGCCACCUUGUGUUUCCCAUAAGUAACCGUUGAAAGUGAAACCCCAGCCCAAGGGGCUGCAAUUGCAACCAGCUGAGUGCAGACUGGCUGGCCUGGAAGGAAGGAGUUGUGCGCUCCAGAUGGACAUGAGUCUCCGAAAGGGACACGCCAGCAAGAUCUUCUCCAGCACCAAGGGGAGACACUUGGGGCAGCCGCAGCCCCUAGCCAAGCCCCUGCAUUGACCCUGGCUUGAGGCCCACCCACCUCUCUGUUGCUUGGCCCAGUGGCCUCCAGGGUGGGUUUUGCUGAAUGUAGGGCUGUUGUCGUUCCAGCUUUGGGAGGGGCAGUGAGGUUCUGGGACCUGCUGAAGGCAGCCUGUCCUGAGAGGCUUACAUUUCAGACCCUUGAAGAGAGAGACAGCGUGCCCCUACUCUAGUCCAGACCCCAGCACUGGAUGCCCCGCUGCACCCUGAGUGCCCGGGGCUGCAUUCUGACUUUUGGGGGCCUAGGAACUUUUGCUUUUGUGGGACUCUUCCUCCAUAAAAAAAUAUUAAAAAUCUUGCUUUAUGACUGUGCUGGUAUAAAGAGGAAUGUAAUCGAGGCUGGAUUUAUUAUUAUAUAUUCAUUAUAUUAUUAUAUUUGUUUUUAUCUUCUCAUUUAAAAAGAAAUGAAAACAUUUUGGGGAGCCCCUUAAAGAACCGUGGGCCCUGGGCCCUGUGCCUGCUGGGGCUGAUGGAGAAGAUGGCCCUAAUGGCUGCCACGCAGCCUCUCACACCCUCCCUUUACCGAGAUUGCGACCCCUCUCUCCUCCAGGACACCUUCCCUGCUUGAUUGAAGGGGAGGUGGACAUGGCCUCGCUCAGCCUCAGACUCCGUGGGCCUCUCCUCCCAUCACAGGGGCCUGGGGGCCAAGUGAAUGGAGGCUUUGCGUGCAUGGCCUGCCUCCUGGAGGUGGAGGGCAGCCGGAGUUGCUCUGCACGGGGCCCAGCUUGGAGGCACGGGGCACAUCCUUCACGGGGCCAUUGUUCCGUGUUAGGUGGGUGGUGGGGAGCUGUCCCUGGAGGACCCCGCACGUUUCCAGAUCACCCUGUGCCAGUAUUGUUAGAGGACUGUGGCCUGUGGGACGCGCCCCAGUGCUUGUCCAACAUGAAGGUAUGAUCCCUCCAUGUGCCAUCAAUGGUCCUCUCUCCCAGGGGGUUAUUUUGAGGGAGGCCCUGUGUCUGUCUUGGAGAUGAGGGAAUGGGGCAAUUACAGUACUGAGGAAGGGGCUGCCUUAGUCAGCUCGGGCUGCCACAGCAAAGUACCACUGACUAGGUGGCUUAAACAGCAGAACUGUAUUUUCUCCUGAUUCUAGAAGCUAGCAGUCCAAGAUCAAGGUGCCACCCAAGAGGUUUGGUUUCUCUGAGGCCUCUCUCCUUGGCUUGCAGGUGGCCAGCCUCGUGCUGCCUCUUCUCAUGGUCACCUCUCUGUGCGUGUGCAUCCCUGGUGACUCUCUGGGUCCAAAGCUCUUCUCACAAGGACACCAGUCGGAUUGGGUUAGGCCCCACCCAAAGGGCCGCAUUUUAGCUUAAUUACCUUUUUAAAGACCCUGUCUUCAAAUCCAGUCAUUUUCUAAGGUGGUGGGGGUUAGGGCUCCAACGUAUGAAUUUUAGGGGACCCAAUUCAGCCCGUAACAAGGGUGAUGGAGGCCACAUGUGGGGCCGCACAGGAUUGCACAAGGGCACCACCCUGAAAGAGGUGCUAUUCAUAUCAUAGGUACUUUUAUUAUUUGGAAAUCUUUUUCGUAUUUUUAUAACAAUUUUGUUGACUCCAAAGGUGGGCAAUUUGUGCAUUUCUUAUGGCAGACUUCCUGCAGAUGGCAGUAUAAAGUUCUUAUUCUAACACUAUCUUAGGAUAAUUUCCUGACUGAAGGAAAGAAAGUAUCUCAAGAAAGGAACAUCUUUUUCUACACAGGCGCCAUAUAUUUGGCCUGGCAGUGGCUGGCCACGUGACUGUCCAGGGCUCAGGUCUGGCUUGGAUGGGGCAUGUGACCUGGGUUAGCAGGGUCACGUGACUGUCAUAAUUUGGUGGACUGAGUUUAGGGAGGGGGGUCAUGUGACUCCAACAGCCUUGCAGACUGGGCUAGUCAUGUGACUAUGGCCUCUCUUGGUCUUGUAAUGACCAUGUUCCUUCAAACAUUGAUAGAACCUACUCUUAAAGCUUGCCCAGUCUAUGAAGGAAAUAGGACGAGUGGUCUGUUUCUGUUCUGAUCACCCAGAAACAGCCUGGGAGCCCUAAGGCCAAAGCUGGCAUGACCACCCCAUCUUCCUCCCUACCCAAGACACUUCUGGAACCCACGACCUCUGCUAGAGAGCUCUAUCUCGUUGCCUAUCUCAUUGGUCUGUGCACAGGGCCAUCUGGGUUCCUGAUAUCCCCAAAUUCAGGGGCCGGCUGGCACAGGGGAGGUUGGGUGAAGAGAAGUAAGAGGGAGGGGAGUCAGUGAGGCCAGGAGAGUUGCAGAGGGGCCACUGGGGCCAUGGGGGUCAGGGCUCCUGGCUGGGGCUGAGAAGGGGACUCUGCCUUUCCUCCCAGAGCUGACCUGCAGCCUGUGGGUGAGCACUGGGAGCUAAGAGCAUGGCAGUGUCCUCGUGGCUUGUCUGUUUCCCCUGUGAGACCCAUGGGGGCUUCUGAGAACUAGGCCCUGUAGUGGGAGAGCAGAGAGCUAACAAGGCUCCUCAGCCACCUCAGAUUGUCCCAGAGGAGCACAUGAAUCACUUAGGACCCACGACCUAGAAACAGAGAGAUGCCAUUCCCCUGCAGUCUCCCAGGGCUGAAUUUUUAACUCCCAAGUCAUGGUUCCCCAGAUGCCAAAGUUCUGACUCAAUCAAAUUUAGGCUGAAAUGCAUGCUCGUGCCAGGCUCCCUUGCCCAGCCCACCACCUUCAGUCCCCACAGCUUGCCUGUGAGGCAAAUACUGUCACUCUCGUUUCAGGGAUAUGCAAACACAGGCCUGGGUUAAGUGACUUGCCCCAAGUCCUGUGGCUGGUAAGUGGCAAAGCAAGAUUGGAACCAAGCCCAUGUGACUUGAAAACUGAGAGUAAGGCUGUUUGCUUGGCUCUGCACAGGGAGUACACAAUGAGUGUGGCUGCCCGAGCUUGUCGCUCUGUCCUGUGGCUACUUGCUUCACACCCUAGACCCUGCUGGCCCUGCUGGGCUGCAGGAUGGUAGAUGAGAGCUUCCCCUGACCUCUCCUCUACUUCUGCCCCCUCCCACUGUUCCAGAAGGCAGGACACUGACGUUCUCAGUUCCCAGACUGGCAGGCAGACAGCAUCCAAGUAUUGAGCACAUUUUUGGGGGGGACACUUUUGAAGGCCUUCCCACAUUGCCAUCCAACUAGCAGACAAGGACAGCUGCGGUCACCAUGUUCCAGAAGCCCGGAGAUGUGCGGCAGCUGGGCCUCUCCAUCCUUCCCUCCCUCCCUCCCCCGCUGUUUCUCUCGCUACACUGGGCCAUAGGUGGGCGCAGCAGGCCUGGAACACUUUUGUGUUGUCUUUGCUAAAGAGGGGCCGAGGCUGUUUGAAGGUGAACUGUGGAAAAUGGUCUUGCUGUGCUUCAGAUCAUGUCUUCGCCCCUUCCUGACACUGUUCUGGGAGUGGAGACAGGAGUCUUUGCUGGAGAUUCAGCCCUGCCUGCGAGGGUAGGGGAGGGCAGGCCACCCAGCUCACCUCUGGGUCCGUUGGGGCCGCAGCAGGUGUGUGAGAAUAUUUGCCAGUGUGUGCUUGUGUAUGUGUCUGUGCAGGUCUGUAUUUAUACAUGUGUUUGUGCGCAUAUGCCCCUCUGUGUCUACACAUGUAUUUGUGCCUGUGCAUAUGUGUACAUAUGCACGAUUCAUGUCUGGUACGUGUUAACACGCAAGUUUGUGUCUGGAAUCAUGUGUGUUUGCAUGUGUGUUUACCUGCAUGUCUGUGCACGUGUGUGUGUUUAUGCCUGUGUGUUUGUGUGUGUUUGUGUCUGUGCACAUGUGUGCACUCCAGACAAAUGGCAGGAUGCACACUGCGCAUGAGGUGGCUUAGGGUAGAGUCUCGGGCCUUGAAUCAGGCUUCCAUAUGGCCCCAGAUGUGACCCUUCACCCUCCCCUGUGGCUGUCAAGGUCUCUGCCCCCGGAGACCAGAGAACUUUCCUUUGGAACCAAGUGGGCCUCGCUCCCGGGGCAGGGCGGAAACUACUUCCAAAAGCAAACAGGAUCAUCAUCAUGCUGGGGAGCCUGGAGCCCGUGGGACCUUGUUUAAUUCUGAAGGAAUGUGCUCGGUUCCCGCCCAGCAGAGCAGGCCCUGGCCUGACAGGGAGCCGUGAAGACCUGGCCGGCAGUGGCUGCCUUUGGAAGAGGGAGCUUGGCUGGCCAGGGACAAACCAUUCCAGGGACAGAAAAUCACACCAACUCGUGUGACUGGAGUGGGCUAGGGCUGACAGAGCCCUUCCUCAGAGCCUCCGGGCCGGUGUGCCCAGCUCUGUGCCGGGGAGAAGGGGGCAACAAGCAGGGAAGAGGAAGUGGCCCAGAUAUGACCCCAGAGGAGCUUGGAAUCUAUCAGGGAAGGGCAAAUCCCCAACGGGGGACAAGAAGGAGAGUGUAUCAUGGUGACGGGGCGUGGGGGAAGCAUAUAGUGCAGAGAGGAGCGAUCCCUGGGGACUGUGGCCAUCAGGAAAGGCUUCUUGGAGGAGGCGGAGGUUUAACUGGGCCCCGAAGCGGGGGGAAGAUUUGGAGGGAAACAGGACAUUCUGAGAAGAGGAGAAGUUUUGUAAAAGAUGCAGAUGUGGAAAAGGGUAUGGCCUUUACGGAAUGACAGUGCCAACGCUGGUCCAGCGGGAAUUUGGGAAGGGAGAAGAGGGAGAUGAAGCAGUGAGCUCCUGUCCAAGGUGGCUUUGAAUGCCCGCCAGAGUUCAUCCUUAGGCAGUGGGGAGCUAUUGAAGAUCCUUGGGGUGGGGGGUGACCUGAUACAAGUGAGAGUUUUAGGGUUUGGGGCCCAGGUGAUCAGGUCAUAAGGUGGGUGAGGACAGAGGCUGCGAGACCAGAAGAGAGUGGAGGCGGAGGUGAUUGGGGUGAGGAAGCCUGGGGCUAUGAGUGGGUAAGUGGCUGAGGCCUGGGGAGCGAAGGGGGCAGAACUGAAUCGACUUCGCAUUUUGUGACACUCGUCCAUUCUUGAGGUCUUGUUUCUGUGUUUGGAUUCUGCUGACCUGGGAACACUGCCAGCCUGAGACAGCUCCUCAACCACAGGCCAGUGGAAGCAGAUGGGCCUGGGGUACAGAGGCUAGGACUCAACCCAGCCCAGGGCCAGCCCUUCCCUUGCCACCCUGCCCAGAGUGGCCCUGGCCUCUGCAGUGGGCCUCUGGGUAUCUCAUCUACUGGUACCCAAAAGUGGUAUUUGUCACAGGGAGUGGGUGUUACCCCAAGCGACAGAGCGGGAGACCAAGGGAGACCUUGAGUGUGAACACAGCCAGUCUAGCUGCCGUCUCAGAGGAUGAGCCAUCAGACAUUGCCACAGGGAAGGGGUGGGAAGUGGUCAUCCUCGGGACUCCAAGCUGACUUUUUUGACCUCGUUAUGGAGAUGAUGGGCUGGACUAACUGCAGGAUGGAGUGCUUGUGCAGACCAGAUCACGGAGGAUGGAAGCUGUGGUGUGAGUGACUCUGGCUCCUAGCGACAGCGCUGGAGGGACAGGACAGAGAGCUGCCCUCAGACCUCGGGGCGCCAUCCCCCGUGACCUCGCUGCCCCCUCCCUCUCCCCAGCGAGUGCAAACACAGCUGGUCACGGACUUUUGCUGCGGGAGGUGUUUUCCCCGAGCUGAUAGGAUCAACCUGUUCUUUACCUCAAACCUGUUUUUAAAAGGACUUUCCUGUUUUUUUUUUCUUUCUUUAAUUGCAGAAUAUUUUUAUAACAUACUUUGAACAGAAGAAACAGAACCUAGCAAAACAGUUAUUAAAGAGCUGUAAAAUGCUUUCCUCACACUUGCCCUCUUAUUUCUUCCUCCUUUGGGUGGGUCGGGCUGUAGGUUGGGGCUGCGGUGGGUGAACCUAAGUGACCGAGCUACGAAUUAGUGACAAGGUGCCCCACGUCCACCCAGAGCUCGGACACCCCCUGCCCAACCCUUCAGGCAAGUUCUUGCUCAGCCAAUUUUGUUAGUUUAUAAGCUGCAGGGCACUCAGUUCUCAGGUCCUGGGGCCACUGGGCCGGGCUGAUUUCACGGCAGGUGCAGGUGGCCACAGUUGGUGG